AUUGAACGCUGUCGGCAGGCCUAACACAUUCAAGUCGAACGAGUGGCGGACGGGUGAGUAAUGUCUGGGAAACUGCCCGCUGGAGGGGGAUAACUACUGGAAACUGUAGCUAAUACCGCAUACCAUCGGAUGUUCCCAUAGUGGGUUGGCUAGUAGGUGGGGUAACGGCGCACCUAGGCGACGAUCCCUAGCUGGUCUGAUAGGAUGACCAGCCAUACGGGAACUGAGCCACGGUCCAGAUUUCUACGGGAGCAAGCAGUGUGGAAUAUUGCACAAGGGUCGAAAGCCUGGUGCAGCCAUGCCUCGUGUAUGAAGAAUGCCUUCGGGUUGUAAAGCACUUUCAGCGAGGAGGCGUUACUCGCAGAAUAAGCACCGGCUAACGCCGUGCCAGCUGCCGCGGUAAUUC
rnacentral:rRNA from 1 species